AAACAUGUCUUUUUGAUUUUUAAGGAGUCUGACCUGCACACUGAGUUGUUAAAGAGCUGCAGUAUAUUAACUGUGCUAAGGUAGCAUAAUAAUUUGUUUUUUAAUUGAAAACUUGGAUGAAAGGUUUGAUGUUAAUAAACUUUCUUUCUUUAAGAGUUGAAAUUAAGUUUUAGUAAAAACUCUAAAUUAAAUUUAAGGGACGAUAAGACCCUAUAAAAUUUAUAUUGUAUUUAAUCGAAUUUGGUAUAAAAUUUUCUUGCAAUUUAACUGGGGCGGUUUUUAUAGAAAGAAAUAAAAAAUCUAUAAUUAUUUUAUAACAGAAAUUUCUGUUUUUUAUGACCCUAAUUGGACUAUCAGAUAAAAUUACUUUAGGGAUAACAGCGUUAUCUUUCUUAGAGUUCCUAUCGAAAGAAAGGUUUGCGACCUCGAUGUUGAAUUAAGAAUCCUUAUUUUGGUGCAGAAGC
rnacentral:rRNA from 1 species